CAGCUCUUCGGAGACACGUUCCUCAGACUGAAGGGGAAGGUUCCACAGUGAUGGAAAAGGAAAAUGAUUCAAAUUCCAGCUCUUUGCCAUCACCAUGAGAAGAAUAUACCCUGGCUACCUACUGGUUCCAAAAGGAGAAUGAAGAACACGUAACGCAGAACCACCCCAGCAAACCCAAAGACAUAACUGAUAAGGUCAUCUAGACUAAAGAAGAUUCCCAGUCUCCCUUCAAGCUAGGUAUGUUUGUGUACUCGACAAUGGCAUGUAAACAGACGUAAUCUCUGCCUCCUGUAAGUAAUACCCUUAAAGAAAAGGGAAAUCUCUUUCCUUCCCUCUUUCCCCUUUACUUUUGUAUAGGUGGUAGUG